rnacentral:misc_RNA from 1 species
GAUGAAGAACGUAGCGAAAUGCGAUAAGUAGUGUGAAUUGCAGAAUUCAGUGAAUCAUCGAAUCUUUGAACGCACAUUGCGCCCCAUGGUAUUCCGUGGGGCAUGCCUGUUCGAGCGUCAUUUACCCCCUCAAGCUCCGCUUGGUGUUGGGCGUCUGUCCCGCUUCGCGCGCGGACUCGCCCCAAAGGUAUUGGCAGCGGUCGUGCCAGCUUCUCGCGCAGCACAUUGCGCUUCUCGAGGCACCGGUGGGCCCGCGACCAUCAAGCUCACCCCCCCAGUUUGACCUCGGAUCAGGUAGGGAUACCCGCUGAACUUAAGCAUAUCAAUAAGCGGAGGA